GUCAUUGUGUCCUAAAAAGGGUGUAACCAAACCAGCACAUAUGACCGUCAGGAGAGCACCUACUGCCACAUAAAGCAUAAAGGUCAUAUGGUCCUGUAUUCGUAGGCAUUGUGGAAUUGUCAAAAAUAUAUUUACAACCAUCUGUGGCGACUGGCUUUUCAGCGUAUUGUAUCUCGCCUUCGGCGAUUGCUAAUUGAGCCCGGAGGCAGAUCCAGGUAACUACGCAGGUCGAUGCAAUACUUCCCACCAAUGCACUCUACGAAUAUACAGAUAUACGGCAGAACAGUUAAUGAGACGAUAUUAAUAUGAAAAAAUUCUACUACCUUUCCAUUGAUCCAAGGCAGCAUCAAUCCAAUAAUAAAAAGGCCUAGCAAUGGGCCACUAGUUAUCGAUGCGAGAGUCAUUGUUAAUUGCAAUACUGUUCCCAUCCGCUCAACAACAAAAACUAAAAUCACACAUAGGACUCCCAUCAACACCACUGAAAGCCGCAUGACAAAUGCAAUUUGGCGUUCGGUCAAAGGAGUUUUUCUAAAGGGUUUAAUGUAGUCCUCAAGUAUAACUGCCGCUAAUGAAUUCAGACCAGUCGACAGUGAACUUAGUGCAGCACUGAAAACUCCCGCCACAAAUAGUCCUGCCAUUCCAGGAAAUACCCCUAAAGUAUCCAUUACCAAAAGCGGCACCAACUGAUCCUUCGCUUUAGCUAACUUUGUACUUAAUGGAUCGCAAUCGUGAUAUUUUCAGAUGAUGUUUUUAUGAAACCUAAUGAAAUUUCGAGUUUCUACAUGAAAACUUACCUCAUACGUUGAAGUUAGUUGGAGAUUGCAAAAUACCGGCAGGAACACAUACCACGAAAUUAUUCCGGAUAUCAGCAAUGUGAAGAGAAUGAAGGCGUACUGAGUGCCAUAUACAUAUAUUUCGGUUGAUGUUCCAAGCAGCGAAAUUCCCGAGACAAAGCUAAAAUUACAAAAUUUGGUGUUAAAGUGAAACAUCUAAGCGUGCACUUACAAUUCGAGCUACACACAUCGCCUUAUUGCCACAUGGCUAAAUUAAAUUGUAGUAAUGUGUUUUUGCAGCUGGUCUUACCAAGAUGCUCUUACAUUUUGAAGCAAUCAUUUACACCGCCAAGCCAAAGUUUAUUAUUAGGACUAAUAUAUAUAUAAUAUAAAAUAUAAACAUCUUAAAACUUUGUGCAAAUCAGUCUGGUGGUAAUCAAAGACCGCAACGAAAACGAUGUCUGCAGCAAACGCAUUACGCUCUGCCGUUGGGCCGUUAGGCAUUUCGUUAUUAUUGUUAUUCUCUUAAAAAGUAGCAGACUAAGUUUACACACGACUGUGCAUACAUAUGUAUGCACCACCCUGAUCAAAAAGCUCGCGGAAUAACCGCCGGGUGACGCUCUAAGUCGACUGAUUUGAGUUCUAUUUCGUCGCAUUUCUAUUUCGCAUCAUUACUGGAGGGGUUAUGAGUACGACAGGCAAAAGGUAGACAGGUAGACAUCAAACGAGUGAGUGGAGAACUCUGAAUGAACCAAGACCAAAAAACACGUCCUUGUCAUUCAAAAAACAAAGCGAUACUCACAGUAUGUAUGGAUUACGACGGUAUUGUACACCACGAAAUUUUGCCAGGCUAGACAGUUAAUAAGGACUAUUACUUUGGCGUUACGAGACGUUGCGUGAAGCAAUCUGCCAAUAUCGAAAAGACUUGUGGGAAAAUAACUCGUGCAUUUUGCACUAUGAUAACGCACCAACUCACAGUGCUCUGCAAAAUACCGGCAUUAUCCGCGAAUUUUUGACCAAGAAUGAAGCGAAUAUCAUCUAACAGCCAUCGGAUUCACCUGGUAUGGAACCUACUAUAGACAACACGUUUUAACAGCUGAAAGUAAGUAAUGGAAAAUCCGAAGACGGCUCUGAUGGCUAUACUGAAAAUAAAGUUCCAGAAAUGUUUCAAGAGCAGAAUCAAGCGCUGGCAUAAAUGCAUUGCAGUUGAUGUGGAGUACUUUGAAAGCGGUGGCAGGACAAAAAUAGCGGCAGACAUUCGAAAUGUACAAUAAAUUCCAUUAAACCGGUGAGUUGACCUUGAAUUCGAUGGACGGAUGGGCGUUCUGGGACUGCUCUAAGCAUAAAAGAUACGUGCGCAAAAUUAUCUCCUCAUUGCACGGCGACUUUACCGAAAUUUUGCGAAAAUGUUGCUUACUUCAUAUGGGAAAAGGUCGGGUCAAGUUAUACGCAACAACACAGUAUUCUUUAAAAAAAUACUAAAACAUUCAACAUACUAAAAUAAAUUUCCAGCGACCAAAUUUUGAAAGAAACUAUAUUUUUUUAUAAAAAAAUAGGGAGGAUGAGAGAUA